rnacentral:rRNA from 1 species
GUUAAGCGACUAAGCGUACACGGUGGAUGCCCUGGCAGUCAGAGGCGAUGAAGGACGUGCUAAUCUGCGAUAAGCGUCGGUAAGGUGAUAUGAACCGUUAUAACCGGCGAUUUCCGAAUGGGGAAACCCAGUGUGUUUCGACACACUAUCAUUAACUGAAUCCAUAGGUUAAUGAGGCGAACCGGGGGAACUGAAACAUCUAAGUACCCCGAGGAAA